rnacentral:rRNA from 1 species
GAUGAACGCUAGCUACAGGCUUAACACAUGCAAGUCGAGGGGUAACGAGAGGAAAGCUUGCUUUCCUUGUCGACGACCGGCGCACAGGUGAGUAACGCGUAUCCAACCUGCCCCCAACUAGGGAAUAACCUUGCGAAAGUAAGACUAAUACCCUAUAAUUUCCUCAGAUGACAUCUGACGAGGAAUAAAGAUUUAUCGGUUGUGGAUGGGGAUGCGUCUGAUUAGCUUGUUGGCGGGGUAACGGCCCACCAAGGCAACGAUCAGUAGGGGUUCUGAGAGGAAGGUCCCCCACAUUGGAACUGAGACACGGUCCAAACUCCUACGGGAGGCAGCAGUGAGGAAUAUUGGUCAAUGGGCGGAAGCCUGAACCAGCCAAGUAGCGUGCAGGAUGACGGCCCUAUGGGUUGUAAACUGCUUUUAUACAGGAAUAAAGUUAGCCACGUGUGGUUAUUUGUAGGUACCGUAUGAAUAAGGACCGGCUAAUUCCGUGCCAGCCGCCGCCGUAA